AUUGAAACACUGGUCCCCGUACAAUCACCAAAGUUAAGCAAUGUUGAGCCUGGUCAGUACCUAGAUGGGUGACCACUUGGGAAUACCAGUUACUGU